UCCGCGAGUCGGCGCUCCGCCGGGUGCCACUCCCCGGCGCAGGACGAGCCGACUCGGGAAGAGAGAGAUGAAGACGUGUAGCGUCGACCUCAGAUCAGACGAGACGACCCGCUGAAUUUAA
rnacentral:rRNA from 1 species